rnacentral:lncRNA from 1 species
GAGAAAUGUAUAAACGGAGUUAUACUGUAUUUAUUGAUAGAUGAGUGGAUGAACUACUCUCUUAGGCACAAUCCGGAUGUGAAAAUUUUAUAUAAUGUGGCAGUGAAAUCAUGGCAACCAGAAAAUGCACUACUUCUGCUUGGCCUGCCAUUUUGAUUUUUCUUAUUUUAUGGCAGAUGACAUUGUUUACUGUUAAGACAUUGAUACUCUAUUGCAGGGGGUUGGCAAACUUUUCAGACAAAAGAGCCAAACCUAUCCCUCACAAUAAUUUAAAAACUAUUCGAGAGCCAUAUAUUUUUGCAAAUAAUUUUCUUCAUUUAAUAAAGAUAUAUAUUUAUUAAAUGAUAUGUAUAUUAAAUGAAGAAAAAUCACAAAAUAU